GCGGAGGAAAAGAAACCAACAGGGAUUGCCUCAGUAACGGCGAGUGAAGCGGCAAAAGCUCAAAUUUUAAAGCUGGCACCUUCGGUGUCCGCGUUGUAAUUUUGUGAGGCAUCUCCGGGUAGGGCGCCGGCCUAAGUUCCUUGGAACAGGACGUCAUAGAGGGUGAGAAUCCCGUGCUUGGCUGGCUGUCCCCGUCCAUGUGAGGUGUCUUCGACGAGUCGAGUUGUUUGGGAAUGCAGCUCAAAAUGGGUGGUAAAUUUCAUCUAAAGCUAAAUAUUGGUGGGAGACCGAUAGCGCACAAGUAGAGUGAUCGAAAGAUGAAAAGCACUUUGAAAAUAGAGUUAAAAAGUACGUGAAAUUGUUGAAAGGGAAGCGCUUGAGACCAGACUUCGGUGGGGGGUGAUCAGCUGUCCUUCUGGGCGGUGCACUUGCUCCCCUCCGGGCCAGCAUCGGUUGGGGCGGCGGGAUAAAGAUCCCGGGAAUGUGGCUCCUUUCGGGGAGUGUUAUAGCCCGGGUGAAUGCCGCCAGCUCCGACCGAGGACCGCGCCUUCGGGCUAGGAUGCUUGGCAUAAUGGUCUUCAGCGACCCGUCU
rnacentral:rRNA from 1 species